UUCAAAACCCCUUCCUCUCUGGGAUGCAACAUCCUUGAUCACGGGAAUCUAGAAGUAAUUAAAGUUUGCUGAUGGGGAGGACGAGACGUUUUCUUCAGUGACAUCUCCAAUGUUUGUUAAUAUGAUGGAUCACAUUGAUGGAUUUCCAUAUAUUGAACCACCC